rnacentral:tRNA from 1 species
GAGCCCAUGGUUCAAUGGUUAGAACGUUGGACUAAUAACCCAACUAGCAAAAGUUCGAACCUCGGGUGCC